rnacentral:misc_RNA from 1 species
UUUCCGUAGGUGAACCUGCGGAAGGAUCAUUCAUAAUAAGUGUUUUAUGGCACUUUUUUAAAUCAUAUCCACCUUGUGUGCAAUGUCAGGGUUGAUUUUUCUCUCGAGAGGAUCAGCCCCAAACAUCAACUAUAUCUCAACUCUCUGUCUGAAAAAUAUUAUGAAUAAAACAAUUCAAAAUACAACUUUCAACAACGGAUCUCUUGGCUCUC